GACGAACGCUGGCGGCGUGCUUAACACAUGCAAGUCGAACGAAGAGCGAUGGAAGCUUGCUUCUAUCAAUCUUAGUGGCGCACGGGUGAGUAACGCGUAAUCAACCUGCCCUUCAGAGGGGGACAACAGUUGGAAACGACUGCUAAUACCGCAUACGAUCCAAUCUCGGCAUCGGGACUGGAUGAAAGGUGGCCUCUAUUUAUAAGCUAUCACUGAAGGAGGGGAUUGCGUCUGAUUAGCUAGUUGGAGGGGUAACGGCCCACCAAGGCGAUGAUCAGUAGCCGGUCUGAGAGGAUGAACGGCCACAUUGGGACUGGGACACGGCCCAGACUCCUACGGGAGGCAGCAGUGGGGAAUCUUCCGCAAUGGACGAAAGUCUGACGGAGCAACGCCGCGUGAGGGAUGACGGCCUUCGGGUUGUAAAGCUCUGUUAAUCGGGACGAAUGGUUCUUGUGCGAAUAGUGCGAGGAUUUGACGGUACCGGAAGAGAAAGCCACGGCUAACUACGUG
rnacentral:rRNA from 1 species